UGAGGAAUAUUGGGCAAUGCCCGAAAGGGUGACCCAGCAACGCCGCGUGGAGGAUGAAGGUCGUAAGAUUGUAAACUCCUGUUAGAGGGGAAGAAUAACUCAGUUUGGAGCUUAGUAUGACUGUACCCUCAGAGAAAGCCCCGGCUAACUACGUGCCAGCAGCCGCGGUAAUACGUAGGGGGCAAGCGUUGUCCGGAUUUACUGGGUGUAAAGGGCGCGCAGGCGGAAUGGAAAGUCAGUGGUGAAAUCCUACAGCUUAACUGUAGAACUGCCUUUGAUACUUUCAUUCUGGAGUGCGGGAGAGNGAGACGGAAUUCCAAGUGUAGUGGUGAAAUACGUAGAUAUCUGGAAGAACACCAGUUGCGAAGGCGGUCUCUUGGUCCUAUACUGACGCUGAGGCGCGAAAGCGUGGGGAGCAAA
rnacentral:rRNA from 1 species